rnacentral:rRNA from 1 species
GACGAACGCUGGCGGCGUGCCUAAUACAUGCAAGUCGAACGCAGUGGGGACGGGUGCGUAACACGUGGCUAACCUCCCAUCAGAGGGGAUAACACUUGGAAAAAGGUGCUAAUCCGAUACUGAUGGAUGGACCCGCGGUGCAUUAGCUAGUUGGUGCGGUAACGGCUCACCAAGGCCACGAUGCAUAGCCGACCUGAGAGGAUGAUCGGCCACGCUGAGACUGAGACACGGCCCAGACUCAUACGGAGGUCAGCAGUAGGGAAUCUUCGGCAAUUGACGAAAGUCUGACCGAGAAACGCCACGUGAGUGAAGAAGGUUUUCGGUUCGUAAAACUCUGUUGAUAGAGAAGCGGUAUCUAACCAGAAAGCCACGGCUAACUACGUGCCAGCAGCCGCGGUAAUAC